rnacentral:rRNA from 1 species
GGUCUCGCGAACCAUCUGNUUUAAGAGUUUGAUCAUGGCUCACAUUGAACUNUGGCGGCAAGCUUAACACAUGCAAGUCGAGCGGAGAAGGGUAGCUUGCUACCUAACCUAGCGGCGGACGGGUGAGUAAUGCUUAGGAAUCUGCCAUUUAGUGGGGGACAACCUUCCGAAAGGAAUGCUAAUACCGCAUACGUCCUACGGGAGAAAGCAGGGGAUCUUCGGACCUUGCGCUAAAUGAUGAGCCUAAGUCGGAUUAGCUAGUUGGUGGGGCAAAGGCCUACCAAGGCGACGAUCUGUAGCGGGUCUGAGAGGAUGAUCCGCCACACUGGGACUGAGACACGGCCCAGACUCCUACGGGAGGCAGCAGUGGGGAAUAUUGGACAAUGGGCGGAAGCCUGAUCCAGCCAUGCCGCGUGUGUGUAGAAGGCCUUUUGGUUGUAAAGCACUUUAAGCGAGGAGGAGGCUCUCCUAGUUAAUACCUAGGAUGAGUGGACGUUACUCGCAGAAUAAGCACCGGCUAACUCUGUGCCAGCAGCCGCGGUAAUACAGAGGGUGCGAGCGUUAAUCGGAUUUACUGGGCGUAAAGCGUGCGUAGGCGGCUUUUUAAGUCGGAUGUGAAAUCCCCGAGCUUAACUUGGGAAUUGCAUUCG